CAGAAACGUUAGCACGUCGAUUCUAACGUGCGAGAUUUAAGAGUCAGUAAACCGGCUAUUAAAAUCUUUGCACCUCCUGUCUAACCACUACUCAACCCAAAGUCUACUCCUUUUUACUUGUCUUUGCAUUUCUCACUCUUGGCCACAAUGUUGUUUUUGUUAUUGUCACCGUCGUCGUCGUCGAAGUUCUCUUCGUUGGUGUGAGUUAGGCCAACGUCGGUGUUGAUCGAACAGACUUAUGAUCAAAGGCAAUCCACUCGUGACCAUUUCGACUUUUUUCAGACGCAGUGUACCCUGAAGAACACUAUUAAAUGUGCCCACAUUUUAAGAAAAAUUUGAGGGACGUGAAGAUUUGACUACUAAUUCUGACAGAUCGAUUGAAGUUAUUUUGAUUCGUUUUCGCUACAGACAUCAUCAUUGAUCACAGGUUCAAGCUUACUGUCAGCGUACAAACCAAUGAUGGAGCUCCUAUGCUGCGGCACGGCCCGGUUGAAAUAACAGCAAAGUUCCUUCAAAUCGCAGCCUGAGUUCUUGGCAAAGAGCACACUGGAUAAUGUAACCACAGCGAAAUGUGCCAAGUCAAAAGACGGGAUAGUCAUAACUAGAAUGUUUUUGAUUAUCGAUCAGAGGAGACCACGGGUUAAGCAACAACACCACGUGACUCUGUUUAAAGAUUUUGUCAGUCGUUGUCAACAGACGGAGUGCCAUGACAUGCUGGUUCGCUACAAUUUGUAUUUGGCAUAAAAGGACGAGAUGGUCACGGCUGAAAUGCUUUGAUUACUGGUCUGCUCCAUCAGGAUUGACCUGGAAGUCAACAAGAAUAAUAUCGCUAAUCAAAGAGGCACAUCCAUAUGUACGCACGACCUACCAGAAAUAACAACGAAACUGACUCAGUUGGUGGUAAACGAGGAGAGUUGUUGGAAGGUAGGACAAAAUAUGCCACAGAAUUUACUCCAGUUCGCCGCAAUGUUGGUUCAAAUCCCUCCGAGAUAUCUUUGCCUUUAAUACUUUUGGAGUUGAUAAAAUAAAGUACCAGUCCAGGUUGAUGGA
rnacentral:lncRNA from 1 species